rnacentral:rRNA from 1 species
AUGGCCGCCAGGAACUUCUUCGUCCGAUCCCCCAAGGAGGAGGAAUCCAGCGCCGCCAUCCGAGAGGCUGUCCUGUUGGGAGGGAAGAACGCCGCCAUUGCAGGCACCGUGGUCGCGGUUCCCACGUUCGUUGCCUGUCGUGUCCUUCCUUGGGCCAAGCACAAUCUGAACUACACCGCGCAGGCGCUCAUCAUAUCGACAGCCUGUGUGGCCGGGUUCUUCAUCACCGCGGAUAAAACCAUUCUACGAAACGCAAGGCAGAACACCAUCGGGAGGAUCGACGAGUCGACUUGA